rnacentral:rRNA from 1 species
GAUGGUGCUUGCACCUGAUUGACGAUGGAUCACCAGUGAGUGGCGGACGGGUGAGUAACACGUAGGUAACCUGCCCCGGAGCGGGGGAUAACAUUUGGAAACAGAUGCUAAUACCGCAUAACAACAAAAGCCACAUGGCUUUUGUUUGAAAGAUGGCUUUAGCUAUCACUCUGGGAUGGACCUGCGGUGCAUUAGCUAGUUGGUAAGGUAACGGCUUACCAAGGCGAUGAUGCAUAGCCGAGUUGAGAGACUGAUCGGCCACAAUGGAACUGAGACACGGUCCAUACUCCUACGGGAGGCAGCAGUAGGGAAUCUUCCACAAUGGGCGCAAGCCUGAUGGAGCAACACCGCGUGAGUGAAGAAGGGUUUCGGCUCGUAAAGCUCUGUUGUUGGAGAAGAACGUGCGUGAGAGUAACUGUUCACGCAGUGACGGUAUCCAACCAGAAAGUCACGGCUAACUACGUGCCAGCAGCCGCGGUAAUACGUAGGUGGCAAGCGUUAUCCGGAUUUAUUGGGCGUAAAGCGAGCGCAGGCGGUUGCUUAGGUCUGAUGUGAAAGCCUUCGGCUUAACCGAAGAAGUGCAUCGGGAAACCGGGCAACUUGAGUGCAGAAGAGGACAGUGGAACUCCAUGUGUAGCGGUGGAAUGCGUAGAUAUAUGGAAGAACACCAGUGGCGAAGGCGGCUGUCUGGUCUGCAACUGACGCUGAGGCUCGAAAGC